rnacentral:tRNA from 1 species
GGGGAUUAAGCUCAGUGGUAGAGCACUUGCCUAGCAAGCACAAGGCCCUGGGUUCGGUCCCCAGCUCCG